UUAAAAGUAGAGAGCUUUAAUAAGUAGGAGAUAACCCAACAGUUAAGCGACUCGGUGGUUGGUGCGAACCGAGCUGUGGUUAUUUGUGAAUUACAUAAAGUGAACUGCCAACUGGCCGGAUUAUUUCGUUAUCAAUAAAUGAGCGAUCACAAUUUUUGUGAUAACUUGGGUGGUAACGCGGAAAAACUCGUCCCUGUU
rnacentral:ncRNA from 1 species